rnacentral:tRNA from 1 species
GUAGGCAUAGUUUAACAAAAAUACUAGAUUGUGGUUCUAGAGCUAGAGGUUGGACCCCUCUUGCCCACC